UUGCCCCAGUAACGGCGAGUGAAGCGGCAACAGCUCAAAUUUGAAAUCUGGCCCCCGGGCCCGAGUUGUAAUUUGCAGAGGAUGCUUUUGGCGCGGUGCCUUCCGAGUUCCCUGGAACGGGACGCCAUAGAGGGUGAGAGCCCCGUACGGUUGGACACCAAGCCUUUGUAAAGCUCCUUCGACGAGUCGAGUAGUUUGGGAAUGCUGCUCAAAAUGGGAGGUAUAUUUCUUCUAAAGCUAAAUACCGGCCAGAGACCGAUAGCGCACAAGUAGAGUGAUCGAAAGAUGAAAAGCACUUUGAAAAGAGGGUUAAACAGCACGUGAAAUUGUUAAAAGGGAAGCGCUUGUGACCAGACUUGCGCCCGGUGAAUCACCCAGCUCUCGCGGCUGGGGCACUUUGCCGGCUCAGGCCAGCAUCAGCUCGCCGUCGGGGACAAAAGCUUCGGGAACGUAGCUCUCUUCGGGGAGUGUUAUAGCCCGUUGCACAAUACCCUUCGGCGGGCUGAGGUACGCGCUCCGCAAGGAUGCUGGCGUAAUGGUCAUCAGCGACCCGUCUUGAAACACGGACCAAGGAGUCAACCUUAUGUGCGAGUGUUUGGGUGUCAAACCCCUACGCGUAAUGAAAGUGAACGCAGGUGAGAGCUUCGGCGCAUCAUCGACCGAUCCUGAUGUUCUCGGAUGGAUUUGAGUAAGAGCAUAUAGGGUUGGACCCGAAAGAAGGUGAACUAUGCGUGUAUAGGGUGAAGCCAGAGGAAACUCUGGUGGAGGCUCGCAGCGGUUCUGACGUGCAAAUCGAUCGUCAAAUAUGCGCAUGGGGGCGAAAGACUAAUCGA
rnacentral:rRNA from 1 species